UGGUUCUUCUCAUUCCUGGUACAUGCUAAGAUUGCACUUCUCUAGCCCUUUGAACUUAGGUAAGGUGACAUGAAUGUGUUUGGACAACGAAAGAUGAACAGAAGCUUUUCCCCUUGCUACAGCAGCUGUGGAUAGUGAGCUGAGACAGAACCUCCAUCAUCCUGAGUCCCUGAAUAGUCAAGCUGUGUUCAUCAGCCCAAGUAUAGGCACAGAAAGCAGACAGUGAAUUCUUCUAAGGCUGGGAGUUUGUCAGGUGAUUGCAGAUGCAAAAUUGAAGGUGGAAGAGUUCAACCAGCUACUAAGAGUCAAGCCAGCCCUUCCGAAUGCACAUCAUCAGAUCUCCUCUGCCUCCCUCUGCCCUCGAGUCCCAGGAUGAGGUGCACUUCUUACAUUGCGAGUUGGCUCCUCAAUUCAGGGAUUGACUGAACACCUGUCUAUUGACUGCCUGGCAAUUAAACUGUUGGUUUAAUAACUAUGUGAAUGAAUAGAAAAGCAUUUUUACUUGAAUUAUUUCCAUUUAGCUCAUUUCCAUAUUUCAUAUCACAAGCACUUUCGUGUUGUAAGUAGAGGCCGACCUGCAUAGAAGGAAAAUGAGCUCCAGAGAGGUUAAGUGCCCAGAGCCCUGGAAGUAAUUUAGUAGCAGAACGAGAAAUACUGAGCUCCAAUUCUGUCUAGUCUGAGUCGACCUCUGCCUUUCUUGGUGUAAAAUGCCAGUCCCCUUCCAGCCUGCUCUGUUCUUUAGUGCAUACGCUCUGCUGGCCAUAGAGAACCAGGAAAUGUUUUCUUCCUAGUAUGUUUGGCCAAAUCACAUUUAACAGAUGAGCACGACAUAUAUUGUAUUAA